rnacentral:rRNA from 1 species
GUAGGUGGCAAGCGUUGUCCGGGAAUUAUUGGGCGUAAAGCGCGCGCAGGUGGUUCUUUAAGUCUGAUGUGAAAGCCCCCGGGCUCAACCGGGGAGGGUCAUUGGAAACUGGGGAACUUGAGUGCAGGAGAGGAAAGUGGAAUUCCACGUGUAGCGGUGAAAUGCGUAGAUAUGUGGAGGAACACCAGUGGCGAAGGCGACUUUCUGGCCUGUAACUGACACUGAGGCGCGAAAGCGUGGGGAGCAAACAGGAUUAGAUACCCUGGUAGUCCACGCCGUAAACGAUGAGUGCUAAGUGUUGGGGGGUUUCCGCCCCUCAGUGCUGCAGCUAACGCAUUAAGCACUCCGCCUGGGGAGUACGGCCGCAAAGACUG